UACGGAGGGUGCGAGCGUUGUUCGGAAUUACUGGGCGUAAAGCGCGUGUAGGCGGCCUUCUAAGUCUGGUGUGAAAGCCCGGGGCUCAACCCCGGAAGUGCAUUGGAUACUGGGGAGGCUGGAGUACCGGAGAGGAGGGUGGAAUUCCUGGUGUAGCGGUGAAAUGCGUAGAUAUCAGGAGGAACACCGGUGGCGAAGGCGGCCCUCUGGACGGAGUGACUGACGCUGGAGACGCGAAAGCGUGGGAGCAAACAGG
rnacentral:rRNA from 1 species